UUGCUGCCUGGCAGAGUUUAGCACACAUCAUCUUUGGUCACGCCUGUGGCGUUCCCUCCAAGGCAACUUCCAUCGAGGCAGUACAAUGAAGAUGAAGGGCCUCUGGUUUUUGAGCAUCUGUCACAUCGUUACAUGAUGACCAUCGUUCUCAUGGCGCCUACACAAACCUCUGCUACAGGAGGCGACGGCGUCCCAUGCCUUCCUUCAGGCGGCGCCACGACAGGCCCCAUCUGCCAACCAAAAACAGAGGGAAUGGCCGAAGCAGCUCUGGUCUUAAGAAGCCCUGACUUCUCUCCAUUGUCUUCAUUGGCAUUCACCUCACCUGCAGUCUGUCUUCACCCUUAGUCUUACUCCACCUGCACAGCAAACAUGAACCUGUCUUUCUCUGAGAUAUUAAAUAUUUGUUUGAAUCAAAUGUUACUCCUCCCUUUGCCCAAGUUUCUGUUUAUUCUUCUUUUGUAGUAAAUCCUUCUUUCAUACUCAUCCAUUUUUUGAAACAGGUGGCUGGAUUAGCUCAAUUUUCUGACUGAUUUUUAGACAUAAAACAGAAAAACAAACCUUGAGAUCUGCUCUGUCUUUUGCGGCCUCCGAUGUGUCGAUCAAAGGUAGAAAGUGGGGUCAGGGUUUACAAAAGCGGGGAAUGUUGUCGUCCAGAUAAAGCUAUCAACAAAGGAGUCAGAUCUCAUGUUCGGCCUGACUCUAGACCAGCUAAUUGGGAGAUGAUUAUCACCCUUUGAGGGCUACUGUGUGACUGACAGUCAUUCUCAUCAGGUUACAAUGAGUCAUUCCCACAAAAUAAUGAACAUAAACGCAUCGUAACACUAG